CCAACUCUUUCCUUCAGCAAAUGCCCUAGCUCCACCAAAGAAAGCAGACCCUAGCCUCCACCAAUCUUGUCGCCGUCUGUCGGAGUGAGAAACUGCUGCUGUCGCCUCUGUUGCACUCAAGAACUUCCAUCUUCGUGCUAUCGGCGUUCGCUACUUCGAUCUCACCAACCCCUGUUCGCUCUCACGAAUCGCUUGGUCGCCGUCGUCCGCGCGCUCAACAGCUCUCCGUCGUCCGUCGAAGGUGUUCUCCAAACUGAAAGAAGGAAGGUUUCCCGGAGAAAUAGAGUUGAAAAAUCUGAUUACCAAAAAGAUGGCUAAUUCUAGACUUGCAGAUGGUGUGCCAGAAUUGUGGCCAUAGGUCAUCUACAUUUUGUUAAAGUUAGAAUACAGAGCACAAAUGAUGGAACUGGACCUGCCUCUGCUUUGUAAAGUAGAGGUUGGUGUAUAGAUAUCAUAGGAAUAUUAUGUUACAAUGUCUUUAGUUGUUUAAAAAUUAGAAUGUGAACUCUAUACUGAAAUGACCAAGUAAUGCUUUUAUUA